GGAUAACUACUGGAAACGGUAGCUAAUACCGCAUAACGUCGCAAGACCAAAGAGGGGGACCUUCGGGCCUCUUGCCAUCGGAUGUGCCCAGAUGGGAUUAGCUUGUAGGUGAGGUAACGGCUCACCUAGGCGACGAUCCCUAGCUGGUCUGAGAGGAUGACCAGCCACACUGGAACUGAGACACGGUCCAGACUCCUACGGGAGGCAGCAGUGGGGAAUAUUGCACAAUGGGCGCAAGCCUGAUGCAGCCAUGCCGCGUGUAUGAAGAAGGCCUUCGGGUUGUAAAGUACUUUCAGCGGGGAGGAAGGGAGUGAGGUUAAUAACCUCAUUCAUUGACGUUACCCGCAGAAGAAGCACCGGCUAACUCCGUGCCAGCAGCCGCGGUAAUACGGAGGGUGCGAGCGUUAAUCGGAAUUACUGGGCGUAAAGCGCACGCAGGCGGUCUGUCAAGUCGGAUGUGAAAUCCCCGGGCUCAACCUGGGAACUGCAUUCGAAACUGGCAGGCUGGAGUCUUGUAGAGGGGGGUAGAAUUCCAGGUGUAGCGGUGAAAUGCGUAGAGAUCUGGAGGAAUACCGGUGGCGAAGGCGGCCCCCUGGACAAAGACUGACGCUCAGGUGCGAAAGCGUGGGGAGCAAACAGGAUUAGAUACCCUGGUAGUCCACGCUGUAAACGAUGUCGACUUGGAGGUUGUUCCCUUGAGGAGUGGCUUCCGGAG
rnacentral:rRNA from 1 species